rnacentral:tRNA from 1 species
GGAGAAGUACCCAAGUGGUUAAGGGGAUCCCCUGCUAAGGGAUUAGGUUUGUUAAAGGGCGCAUGGGUUCGAAUCCCAUCUUCUCCGCCA